UGAAGCGGCAACAGCUCAAUUUGAAUCUGGCUCCCUCGGGGGCCCGAGUUGUAAUUUGCAGAGGAUGCGUCGGGCGCGGGUUCCUUCCGAGUUCCCUGGAACGGGACGCCAUAGAGGGUGAGAGCCCCGUCUGGUAGGAAACCCAGCCCAUGUGAUGCUCCCUCGACGAGUCGAGUAGUUUGGGAAUGCUGCUCUAACGGGAGGUAUACUCCUUCCAAGGCUAAAUACCGGCUGGAGACCGAUAGCGCACAAGUAGAGUGAUCGAAAGAUGAAAAGCACUUUGAAAAGAGAGAGUCAAACAGCACGUGAAAUUGUUAAAAGGGAAGCGCUC
rnacentral:rRNA from 1 species